GUUGUAUGGUUAAGUGACUAAGCGUACACGGUGGAUGCCUGGGCAGUCAGAGGCGAUGAAGGACGUACUAACUUGCGAUAAGCGCAGAUAAGGCAGUAAGAGCCGUUUGAGUCUGCGAUUUCCGAAUGGGGAAACCCAACUGCAUAAGCAGUUACUGUUAACUGAAUACAUAGGUUAACAGAGCAAACCGGGGGAACUGAAACAUCUAAGUACCCCGAGGAGAAGAAAUCAACCGAGAUUCCGGUAGUAGCGGCGAGCGAACCUGGAUUAGCCCUUAAGCACUCGGUGAAGUAGGUGAACAAGCUGGAAAGCUUGGCGAUACAGGGUGAUAGCCCCGUAACCGACGCUUCAUCGAGCGUGAAAUCGAGUAGGGCGGGACACGUGAUAUCCUGUCUGAAUAUGGGGGGACCAUCCUCCAAGGCUAAAUACUCCUGACUGACCGAUAGUGAACCAGUACCGUGAGGGAAAGGCGAAAAGAACCCCUGUGAGGGGAGUGAAAUAGAACCUGAAACCGUGUACGUACAAGCAGUAGGAGCACCUUCGUGGUGUGACUGCGUACCUUUUGUAUAAUGGGUCAGCGACUUAUAUUCAGUGGCAAGGUUAACCGUAUAGGGGAGCCGUAGCGAAAGCGAGUCUUAACUGGGCGCUCAGUCUCUGGAUAUAGACCCGAAACCGGGUGAUCUAGCCAUGGGCAGGUUGAAGGUUGAGUAACAUCAACUGGAGGACCGAACCGACUAAUGUUGAAAAAUUAGCGGAUGACUUGUGGCUAGGGGUGAAAGGCCAAUCAAACUCGGAGAUAGCUGGUUCUCCCCGAAAGCUAUUUAGGUAGCGCCUCGGACGAAUACUACUGGGGGUAGAGCACUGUUAAGGCUAGGGGGUCAUCCCGACUUACCAACCCUUUGCAAACUCCGAAUACCAGUAAGU
rnacentral:rRNA from 1 species